rnacentral:rRNA from 1 species
AUGAACGCUAGCGGGAGGCUUAAUACAUGCAAGUCGAGCGGCAAGGUCUUCGGACCCUAGAGCGGCGCACGGGUGAGUAACGCGUACGCAAUCUGCCCUUCAGUGAGGAAUAGCCCUGGGAAACUGGGAUUAAUACCUCAUAAUAUUAUCUAUCUGCAUGGAUAGAUAAUUAAAGUUCUGGCGCUGAAGGAUGAGCGUGCGUCUGAUUAGCUAGUUGGUAGGGUAACGGCCUACCAAGGCUACGAUCAGUAGGGGGCGUGAGAGCGUGACCCCCCACACGGGUACUGAGACACGGACCUGACUCCUACGGGAGGCAGCAGUAAGGAAUAUUGGGCAAUGGAGGCAACUCUGACCCAGCCAUCCCGCGUGAAGGAUUAAGGCCCUAUGGGUUGUAAACUUCUUUUGUUUGGGAAGAAAUCUGGACAUUUAUGUGCAGUUGACGGUACCUUACGAAUAAGCACCGGCUAACUCCGUGCCAGCAGCCGCGGUAAUACGGAGGGUGCAAGCGUUAUCCGGAAUCACUGGGCGUAAAGGGUGUGUAGGCGGUUGUAUUAGUCUUUCGUAAAAGCGCUCGGGCUUAACCCGGGUAAUGCGGAAGAAACGGUACGACUUAGAGGAUGUGAGAGGUAAAGGGAACUCAUAGUGUAGGGGUGAAAUCCGUUGAUAUUAUGGGGAACACCAAAUGCGAAGGCACUUUACUGGCACAUUCCUGACGCUGAGACACGAAAGCGUGGGAAUCGAACGGGAUUAGAUACCCCGGUAGUCCACGCCCUAAACGAUCACAACUAGCUUUACGGAGUAUCGACCCUCUGUGAGGCGUAGCUAACGCGUUAAGUUGUGCGCCUGGGUAGUACGAUCGCAAGAUUAAAACUCAAAGGAAUAGACGGGGCCUUGCACAAGCGGUGGAUCAUGCGGCU